GGGGCCUUAGCUCAGCUGGAAGAGCGCCUGCUUUGCACGCAGGAGGUCAGCGGUUCGAUCCCGCUAGGCUCCA
rnacentral:tRNA from 1 species